UUCUUUUUCUUUGCUGGUAACCUUUUAAGUUUUGCCGAGGCGGUGAGGGUUCUUUCGGUGCCGAUAAUUACAUUCCAAUUCUGCAGCGCCUUGACGCAUUUCAGAACGCUCCUUGCUGUCUCUUGAGCCUCAUCACCCUGUGGUUGUGCCUGUUUCUGUUACCUCCAUUUGACGGAUGGGCAAAAUUCCCAGAAGACCAGCUGGCUGUAACCCAGCUGCUGGGGCCAGUUCACUUGGAACCUGGUGCCUCCAUCCAAAGUACCUCAUGUGCCUUUAUACCCGAGCACUUUGGGGUUCUCCUGUCCUGACGUCAUCCACGGUACAGGCUUUCUUGAUCAUGGAUGGUGAAGAUAUACCAGAUUUUUCGAGUUUAAAGGAGGAAACUGCUUACUGGAAGGAACUUUCCUUGAAGUAUAAACAAAGGUAAUAUUGAA